rnacentral:tRNA from 1 species
AGCAGGUGGCGUAGCCGUUAGGGCUAUUGCCUUGCAAUCAACAGACCUGGGUUCUAAUCUCUGAUCCUGCUG